rnacentral:rRNA from 1 species
UUGACCGUGCCAAAGGUAGCAUAAUCAUUUGUCUUUUAAUUAAAGGCUUGUAUGAAUGGUUGGAUGAGAUAUAAUCUAUUUUUAUUUAAUUAAAAAUGAAUUUUAAUUUUUAGUAAAAAUGCUAAAAUAAAAAAUAUAGACGAGAAGACCCUAUAAAUCUUUAUUAUUUUUUUAUUAAUUUAUUAAUAGAAAAAAAAAUUUAUUAUUAGAAAAAUAAUUUUAUUGGGGUGAUAAUGAAAUUUAAUAAACUUUUAUUUUAUUUUAUAAAUAUAAUUAAUUUAAUGAUCCAUUUUUAAUGAUUAUAAAAUUAAGUUACUUUAGGGAUAACAGCGUAAUUAUUUUAAAGAGUUCAUAUCGAUAAAAUAGUUUGCGACCUCGAUGUUGAAUUAAGAGUAAGCUGACCGGUCCA